rnacentral:tRNA from 1 species
AGGAUAUUAGUUUUAAAUUAAAAAAUAUUUAAUUUGCAUUUAAAAGAUAAAAUUUUUAUAUCUUA